rnacentral:rRNA from 1 species
GAUGAACGCUAGCGGCAGGCUUAAUACAUGCAAGUCGAGGGACAGCACAGGUAGCAAUACUGGGUGGUAACCGGCAAACGGGUGCGGAACACGUACACAACCUUCCUUUAAGUGGGGGAUAGCCCAGAGAAAUUUGGAUUAAUACCCCGUAAUAUAGUUGAAUGGCAUCAUUUGAUUAUUAUAGCUACGGCGCUUAAUGAUGGGUGUGCGGCUGAUUAGAUAGUUGGCGGGGUAACGGCCCACCAAGUCUACGAUCAGUAGCUGAUGUGAGAGCAUGAUCAGCCAAACAGGCACUGAGACACGGGCCCGACUCCUACGGGAGGCAGCAGUAAGGAAUAUUGGUCAAUGGACGCAAGUCGGAACCAGCCAUGCCGCGUGAAGGAUUAAGGUCCUCUGGAUUGUAAACUUCUUUUAUUUGGGACGAAAAAGGGCCUUUCUAGGUCAACUGACGGUACCAGAUGAAUAAGCACCGGCUAACUCCGUGCCAGCCGCCGCCGUAAAAC